UGCUAAGUGGUUGCUAGGCAGUUGCUAACGUUUUCCAGGUGGUUGCUAGGCAGUUGCUAAGUUGUUGCUAGGCAGUUGCUAACGUUUUCCAGGUGGUUGCUAAGUGGUUGCUAGGCAAAUGCUAACUGGUUGCUAGGCAGUUGCUAACGUUUUCCAGGUGGUUGCUAAGUGGUUGCUAGGCAGUUGCUAACGUUUUCCAGGUGGUUGCUAGGCAGUUGCUAAGUUGUUGCUAGGCAGUUGCUAACGUUUUCCAGGUGGUCGCUAAGUGGUUGCUAGGCAGUUGCUAACGUAUUCCAGGUGGUUGCUAGGCAGUUGCUAAGUGGUUGCUAGGCAGUUGCUAACGUUUUCCAGGUGGUUGCUCAGUGGUUGCUAGGCAGUUGCUAAUGUUUUCCAGGUGGUUGCUAAGUGGUUGCUAGGCAGUUGCUAAGUGGUUGCUAGGCAGUUGCUAACGUUUUCCAAGUGGUUGCUAGGCAGUUGCUAAGUGGUUGCUAGGCAGUUGCUAACGUUUUCCAGGUGUUUGCUAAGUGGUUGCUAACUGGUUGCUAGGCAGUUGCUAUAAUUUCUAAAGUGGUUGCUAAGUUGUUGCUAAGUG